rnacentral:rRNA from 1 species
GUAGGGGCCAAGCGUUAUCCGGAUUUAUUGGGGCGUAAAGAGCUCGUAGGCGGCUUGGCAAGUCGGUCGUGAAAGUCCGAGGCUCAACCUCGGGAAUGCCGGGUCGAAACUGCCAUGGCUAGGGUUCGGUAGAGGAGAGUGGAAUUCUCGGUGUAGCGGUGAAAUGCGCAGAUAUCGAGAGGAACACCAGUAGCGAAGGCGGCUCUCUGGGCCGAUACCGACGCUGAGGAGCGAGAGCGUGGGGAGCAAACAGGAUUAGAUACCCUGGUAGUCCACGCCGUAAACGGUGAUCACUAGGUGUGGCGGACUCAUUGACGUCUGCUGUGCCGGCGCUAACGCAUUAAGUGAUCCGCCUGGGGAGUACGGCCGCAAAGGCUAA